rnacentral:rRNA from 1 species
UACGUAGGGGGGCGAGCGUUGUCCGGAAUCAUUGGGCGUAAAGCGCGUGUAGGCGGCCCGGUAAGUCCGCUGUGAAAGUCCAGGGCUCAACCCUGGGAUGCCGGUGGAUACUGUCGGGCUCGAGUCCGGAAGAGGCGAGUGGAAUUCCUGGUGUAGCGGUGAAAUGCGUAGAGAUCAGCAGGAAUACCCGUGGCGAAGGCGGCCCCCUGGGCCCGAACCGUGACGCCUGAGGAGCGAAAGCGUGGGAGCGAACGAG